GCCUCGAUAGCUCAGUCGGUAGAGCAAAGGACUGAAAAUCCUUGUGUCACUGGUUCGAUUCCGGUUCGAGGCACCA
rnacentral:tRNA from 1 species